CUCUUUUUCUUUUGAAGACCCAUUCACACCAUAUGGGUUUAACCUCUUCGGAUGGAUCAACAAGUAUCCAUACACUAUUAAUCUCCAUGGGAUUUCAUUUCGGAUUUCAUGAUAUUUAGCCAUUUCUUAGAGUCAAACUUUUACAUGGCAUCCAUAUAGAUAAUCAGAUUUUCAUCAUUCUCAUCUAGUUCGAUAGGAUCGAUCAAGAAAUCAUAGUAUCUAUCCAGUUGA
rnacentral:lncRNA from 1 species